UACAGAGGUCUCAACCGUUGUUCGGAUUCAUUGGGCGUAAAGGGUGCGUAGGCGGUCGCGCAAGUCGGAUGUGAAAUCUCAGGGCUCAACCCUGAAACUGCAUUCGAUACUGCGUGGCUAGAGUGCUGGAGAGGAGACUGGAAUUUACGGUGUAGCAGUGAAAUGCGUAGAUAUCGUAAGGAAGACCAGUGGCGAAGGCGAGUCUCUGGGCCGAUACUGACGCUGAGGAGCGAAAGCGUGGGUAGCGAACAGG
rnacentral:rRNA from 1 species